CCUGAAACGUCAAAAUUAUAAAAAAAGAUAAACAAAGACGAUUAUGGCGAUGUUGGUUUUCCUUUUUAAUUUAUUUGAAUUCAGUUUAUAUUUGGUUACUAUAUGAUUCAAAUUCUAGUGUAGGAGUGCCACCAAUCAAUGCUUCGUCUCCUGUCGUAUCAUCCUGCGUGGACUAACGAUUGUCUCUUCAGAUGGCAUCACAACCGGAGCACCGGAUAGUCAGGAGAUUGUGUAAAAACUGAACAGGGCUGAAAAAAGUAAUUCUACAACAACAUGAGCAGCUUUCAGAGAACAUCUGCUGCAUCCGCAACUAUCGGGGAACUACUUGGACCCGUAAAACAAUCACGGAUACACGGGAAGCAGUCUCGGUUUUCAGCCUAAGAACACAGAAAAGGAUCAGAUGAUCAUCUCUCGAGUGCCUGAAACAGCGACAAGAUUUAGGAUUGUCUUGGUUAGAGAUAUCAGUGAAGCAGCUUUUGGAGUGUCCACUACGGACUUUUAAGAUCUGUAAUGAUGUUGACAGGUCAGGCAGGUGGAUGCAAUAACAACGCUGAGACAAAUUUCUCCAGACUCAACUGAAAAUCUUAUCAUUGUGAUCGAGUAGGAAUCAGUUUCGAAGUCAAUUAUGGAAGCAAGCGUUCAGCUUACGGACUUUUACUAGCAGCAAAGGUACAAACGGCCACUGUUACCCUUAUCUUAACUCGUUGCAUUGGAUGCAUAAUCAUAGCUGACUGCAGUAUUAGCAAAAACGAUUGUUGGAAUACCAAAGCUGCUGUUUUAUUUUGCGAAAAAAUAUUUUCAUUAUUCAUAUUAUAUAAUUUGGGUUAUCCUUCUUAGUGUACCAUACUCGCCGCAAGUGAAAGAACGAGAACUCUCGUAUUUGGUCCGCAAUGAAUAGUAACAACUUUAAAGAAGUGACUACAGACCCCGUCCGUUUUUGGCAACAUUGCUCCCUUAGAAAUUUUGGCGUUUUUAGGAACAACGGGUUUAAACAAUAAAUUACAAUAAUGUAGCUUAUCGAUAUUAUUGAACUUUUGGAGAUUAUUAUACACGCAACUCAUUAAUAGUAAGUAGAAUCGGCCACAAAGAUUUUUUGGCCGAAGAAUUGUAAACUUUAACACCGUCUGUGUUGAAGCUCAGUGUUAUUAAAGUUUUGUCCACCUUUUUUCGUUCCUUAAUAACACUUCCUAUCAUAAUCGUUGCAGAAAAUGAAUUGAAUC